GGAGAGAUGGCCGAGUGGUUUAAGGCGCCUUCCUGCUAAGAAGGAGCCCGGCAUAACCGGGCGCCAGGGUUCGAAUCCCUGUCUCUCCGCCA
rnacentral:tRNA from 1 species